ACCGCAUCCCGUCUGAUCUGCGCAGUUAAACACAGUGCCGCCUAGUUAGUACCAUGGUGGGGGACCACAUGGGAAUCCUGGGUGCUGUGGUUUUUUGUUUUUAUUACAUAGUGAUUCAGUAAUAAAGUGAAUAAGUAGUAAAGUUAAUCAAUAUAAUUGAUUGAAUCUCAAAUCAAUCAUUUCAUGAUAUGAAGGACGGAGUUGACCUACAGUGAUAAGAAAGCAAGACAAGCUCUUGGGCUUGUUCGUUUGAGACUUUAUACCGAGGUACACACAUAAAGCUAUUAAGGAAAUGGUAUUCUAGGUGUCUACGGUAUUAUUUUCUCAAAUUAUGAGGCCGCGUGCCGGACUUGUAUGGGAGGAGUAAUUUGUGGACACCUUUUUCACGCCCAUCGCUCGCGGCAACACAACAUGACCAAACAGACCGGGUUUCCUAUUAUAUGAGGGGAACACAUGAACGGGCAGUCAGUCUCAGUGACCGGCUGGUUUAGUAGUGUUAGUACGUUCAUAGCAGUGAUAUUGGGGAGUUGAAAGCUAGACCCUUCCAGGUCUUGUCUAGUAGGCUCCUCAGCUUUCAUUGGGGGUUGGCUGGCUGUCCCUUGACCGAGUUAUUGAAAUGUCUGUCCAGCAGACUGUCACUGGCUUGGAACAGGAGAAGCUUGGCAGUUCUGAAGGUUAUAGAGCCCUUCAGGCCAGAUUUUGAAGUCGAGUAUCUUUUUGAUGCUUGCAAAGUGUGAAGCGGUGUGGACUACUUGCUGAUGGCCAAGCCUGUAAGCAAUUAGCAAUUUGAGAAUCCGCCGUGGCUGCUUGUGGCUGCUCAUUUGUUUGAACAGUUGCCAGCCACUUGGUAGUUCUCUCUGAGGGUUAUAAUCUUUGUUGCUUCUGUGACAGAGAGAAGUAGUCCGAAAUUUGUGGGACUGGGGAACAAGGCUUGGCUCAAUUGCUGGCUGGUGACUGCGAGUAAAGUAGUGUUUUACUAUUUGAAUGCUUUCUCUGGUUGCUUUUGGGUCUAUUCAACCCGAAGUUGACGAACUCCUGACCGGGAAAGCAGCCGUUUGUGCUGUGAAUACUGGGAAAGCUGUGCCUUUUAGGUGCAGUGCCGGAAAGUAGUUACCUGGUUGAUUCUGCCAGU
rnacentral:rRNA from 1 species